CAACUAAUGCAGCAGUAAAUACAGAGAACAACAGGACAAAUCUGUGUUGUUCUGUGGUGUUGGCAUUUCAAAUCCGAUGCCUGCAGUGCGCCAUAGGAGCAUCAAAUGAGGCGCGUCAAUUAUCGCUUUUGGGAGUGUAUUUGGGACUUCAGGCUUCCAUCUUGAGAACCUGCAGAAGAAAAAUGUGGCCGCUGAGCCAUUGUGAUGCAAAUUGAGGAGGGAAAACGUGAAACGAGAGACUCAGAAAAAGAAAAGCCUGAAGGAGGCAUCAUCUUUUUCCAUUACUGGCCUCAAUCGAUUUUGGCUAAAAAUAAAAACCAGCAGGACUCUGAUCCCGUUGCAUUCACAGAUGACCGCACAAGCCAAGUGUCACAUCAGAUGCUACUUGAACCUGUGUUUAUUUAUGUGGAAAUCUAGCUGCUGUCUGCCAAACUGAGAGUCUGUUCUCUACUCUUGGUCGGAGCGUCUCACUCUGUCGCUGUUUCCUGCCAACUGAAAUUUAGGAGCCAAAACAAGGACUACACUAACAGACUGAUGGAUCACUUUACGUCUCAGAUGGCACCAACACUGACAAACAAAAGCGGUGAUGCUUCGGUUAAAUGGCCCUCCACAGGAAACACACGACUGAGGGGGAAACAAUACAGCACUGCCAGACCAAGAACCACGAUGACACUGCAGAAUCACCGAGAUCACCGAGAUGAGACUUAUUGACAUUUGAUUCACUCGCAUUAAGUCAAGGAUGAGAUGUAGAAGAAAGAGCAAGAGAAGAAGAGAUAGAUAGAGAGAGAGAAAGCUGUUGACCCAUAUUUACUGUAUCAUUUUCCCUCCCCUCCCCUCCCCUCCGUCUCUCAUUGACCUCCCUCUUUUACCCCGGAUCUAUUUUUAGCUGCAGCCACUCUCGCUCAGGCCUAAUAUAAGAAUAGAUGUUCCUCGCAAGAAACGCAACAGAAAAUAUUCUGCAGGCAAUAAGUUUUUAGGCGAUCUGGUCGUUUUGCUGUAAGAUGUGGGUUGACUGGACCGUGAGGCAAUUCAUUUAUUUUGUUAAAUCGCUUGAUGAUGAUGAUGGUGCUUUAUUUCCUUAUCUCUCCCCAACAACUCAAUCUUCCACCUCGUUAUUCAGCUUUUAUGAGGCUGUUUUUUGCCUUUUGACGCAGUGGUUUGUGACAUCUGCUUUGUUUGCAAUAAGUCCUCAAAAUUAAACAACCAAAUACAUUGUUUGACCAUGUGACUCCAAAAUGACACAUCGGCAGUAUUCAGCAGAACAUCAUCAUUUAUAAAAUAAAAAAAUCACUGUUAAAAAACAAACAUGUUUUAUGAUGUGACAACGCUGUGGUUAAG